rnacentral:rRNA from 1 species
UACGUAGGGAGCAAGCGUUGUCCGGAAUCAUUGGGCGUAAAGCGCGCGUAGGUGGCUUCGUAAGUCCGUUGUGAAAGUCAAAGGCUCAACCUUUGAAAGCCGAUGGAUACUGCGGAGCUAGAGUACGGAAGAGGCGAGUGGAAUUCCUGGUGUAGCGGUGGAAUGCGUAGAGAUGUGGAGGAACACCAGUGGCGAAGGCGACUCUCUGGGCUGUAACUGACGCUGAGGCGCGAAAGCGUGGGGAGCAAACAGG